ACGCUGCCGCUUGUCUCGGAUUGUGAAGCCGGUCCUGGCUUCCUUGUCUAAAAGCUCUUUGGGACUGAAAUGGCUGUUUAUGAAUCCUUGUCAACCUCGUUCGCAGUCAACGACCAGGGAAUAAAUUAUUCGUGGAAUGACACAGUUCAUAAUUAUUAUAAGGUAUUAUUAAAUUAUGAAAGCGUAGGCCGGGCGCGGUGGUUCACACCUGUAAUCACAGCAUUUUGGGAGGCCGAUGCGGGCGGAUCAUCAGGUCAGGAGUUCGAGACCAGCCUGACCAACAUGGUGAAACCCCGUCUCUACUAAAAAUACGAAAAAAUUAGCCAGGCGUGGUGGAGCGCGCCUGUGAUCCCAGCUACUCAGGAGGCUGAGGCAGGAGAAUCGCUUGAACCCAGGAGGUUACAGUUAGCUGAGAUUGCGCCACUGUAUUCUGUCUACCCUGGGCGACAGAGCGAGAUUCCGUCUCAAAAAAAUAAAAAUAAAAUAUAUGAACGCAUAAUGGUGACGGUGGCUAACAUUGAACGCUUACUUUGUGCCAGUUGAUAUGCCAAGUACAAGUGCGAAUACUUACAAAUAUUACCUUAUUGAAUCUUCACAUAAUCGCAAAUAAGUAGACUAUUUAUUUCUUUUUACAGAUAAGGAAAUGGAGGUCCUGGAGGUUACAUGACUAGCCCAACAAGUAUGACAACUCCGAUAUCGGCUUGCGGUUCACUCAUUCAGUUUGCUGAUUCAGAGAUCUGUGCAUUCACUCACCUGUUCCUUCUCCAGCAAGGCCUCCCCACCCUACCACCUCCUCCUUUCUUAGUUUGGCUGUCUGUGACUCACUCAACACACAUCCCCAGACCUUUCUGGAACUCCAGGUUGGGCAGAUUGGCCUCCACAGCAACCUGUGGAUCUCUGAACACUGGGGCAAGGGCCUGGUCUCAAGCAGCUUCGUAUUCUGAGAUCAGUUUUUACUGAGUAUUGGACCAGCCAGGAUACUAACUAGUAUUUAUUCAGCACCUACUAUGUUGAGUAUAAAUAGCAUAGUAAAAGUAGGAAACACACAAUAAUACCUCAACAGAAAAAUGAGUAAACCAGCGAGGUGUCACGCCUGUAGUCCCAGGUUCUUGGGAAGCUGAGGCCGGCUAAGUUCAAGGAGGAUCGCUUGAGCAGGAGUUCCAGGCUGCAGCGCGCUAUGAUCGCGCCUGCGAACAGCCAUUGCACUCCAGCCUGGGCAACAGAGCGCGACUGUGUCUCUAAAAAACAACGCAAAACAAAAAACACGGCAGAACUUAAGCAUUUUGCUGCACUGCCCAGUGAAAUCCAUUCCAUUUGACAAAUACUGCCCUCUUAACAUUCUUAGAAUUUUUUUUUGGAGCAAGUGUUAGCGUCCCUGUUUUCAAGGAGGUGGUCAAGUAUGCACAGACAUCAGUAGUGACGUUUGCUGGAGACUUCCUUUAGACAAAAAUGAACUUAGGGACAGCACUUAAGUUAGAGGCCAAGUCUUUGGCCAAAGUAGCCUGCCAUCCUACUCCAGAGAACUGCUGUGGUUAAAAGAGGAAAAACUGUAUUCUGCGAUCAAGUAAGGCUCUAAACCCAGUAUUAGGAAAGAACAGUAGCCUUUUGUAUUAGAAAGAACACUGGCGUGGAAGUCAAAAGUUCUGGAUUCUAGUGCCAGCUAGAAUCUACCACGAUCGUGGUAGGCAAGCUGCUCCAAAACCCAGUUUCUGGUAAAUGAGAGUGAUGAUUACUAACUCACCUCACUGACUGUUGGGAAAAGCUAAGCUAUCCUAAUGUACACAUUUUACCAGAUGCUACUUCAUUAUUAAUUAUUAAUGAUCUCAAAACACCAGUUGUGGCCAAGCACAGUGGGUCACACCUGUAAUCCCAGCACGUUGGGAGGCUGAGGCGGUAGAAUCACGUGAGUCCAGGAGUUUGAGACCAGCCUGGGCAACAUAGGGAGGCCCCGUCUCUUAAAAAAAAAUUAAAAAUUAGCUGGGCAUGGUGGCACACACCUAUAAUUCCAGCUACUUGAGAGGCUGAGAUAGGAGAAUCACUGGAACCCAGAAGGUCAAGGCUGCAAUGAGCCAUCACUGUGCUACUCUACUCCAGCCUGGGCAACACAGCAAGACCCUGUGUCAAAAACCAGCACCAAAAAAGAACAUAAGUUGUUCCACAGGGCUGGUUCUUCGACACAUAGACACAAACUGCGAUUCUGUGAAGUGUUGCUUUAUAAUAUUGGGUUAAGGAGAAGGUCAAGGCUGCAGUGAGCCAUCACUGUGCCACUCUACUCCAGCCUGGGCAACACAGCAAGACCCUGUGUCAAAAACCAGCACCAAAAAAGAACAUAAGUUGUUCCACAGGGCUGGUUCUUCGACGCAUAGACACAAACUGCGAUUCUGUGAAGUGUUGCUUUAUAAUAUUGGGUUAAGGAUGAUCUUGUCAAAAUACAGUACCCUGAAAACAACAUAUUAGGAGAGCCAGAAGUUUCCAAAGAAAGAAAGCACACCAAAGCUCUAGAGAAUUUUGAAAGUAAAAAACUUGUUUGGGGAGAAAAAAAACAAAAACAGAAAAAAGCAUUACUUAAAUCUUUAUACACAGAAACAGAAUAACCACUAGGGUAAACAAAGCAGCUAUGGCUUUAUUUCCCUCUACCUUCGUAACUUUGACAUUCUGCCUUACAGUCUAUUUUCACACAGUUUCUGUUGUUAAUGGGAGCUGAGGAACAAGGUACUGACACCUUCUUAUGGUUCAUCAAAAGAACCUUUGACUCUGAAAGGAUCUUGGAUAGGAUCAUCUCUCCAAACUUCCUAUUCAUGGAUCUUCUGACAUUCAGUUAGCCAGCCUCUUUUCUAACACUCUCUAUUAAAGUUAAGUCACUAGCCUGUGAUCCCAGCACUUUGGGAGGCCAAGGCCGGUGGAUCACCUGAGGUCAGGAGUUCCAGACCAGCCUGGCCAUCAUGGUGAAAUCCUGUCUCUAGUGAAAAUACAAAAAUUAGCCAGGUGUGGUGGUGCACACCUGUAAUCCCAGCUACUUGGGAGGCUGAGGUGGGAGGAUCCUCUGAUCUGGGGAGGCAGAGGUGACAGUGAGCUGAGAUCACACCACUGCACUCCAGCCUGUGCGACAGAGGGAGACUCCGUCUCAAUGAAUAAAUAAAUAAAUAGCCGGGCGUGGUGGCUCACGCCUGUAAUCUCAGCACUUUGGGAGGCUGAGGCAGGUGGAUCACUUGAGGUCAGGAGCUUGAAACCAGCCUGGCCAACGUGGUGAGACCCUGUCUCUACUAAAAAUACAAAAAAUUAGCCAGGUGUGUUGGUGUGCUCCCGUAAUGCCAGCUACUUGGGAGGCUAAAGUGGGAGAAUCACUUAAACCCGGGAGGUGAAGGAUGCAGUGAGCCAAGAUAGCACCACUGCACUUUAGCCUGGGCGACAAGAGCAAGACUCCAUCUCAAAAAUAAUAAAUAAAUAAAUAAAUAAAUAAAUAAAGUUAAGUAACUACCUUUCAGAGCUACUAUUUUCUGGGUGUUCAUAAGGGCUAGAAAGUUCUUCCCUUUACAGAGACAAAAUCAGCUACUUUGUAAUACACACCCAUUGGUCUAAGUUGUGCUUGCUGAGAUUACACAGAAGAGUCCAACUCUUCUACAUGAUAACCCUGCGAACGUUUGAAAAUAGUUAUCCCACACCCACAUGCCUUCUAGUUUUCAGGGUAACUACCCCACAUCCUCCAACCGUUCCUCAAAAGAUGUAGUUUCUAGGCCAUUCAUCAUCCUGUUGCCCAACUUGGGCAUACUCCAACUUGUCAACAUCACUCUUACAGCCUGGGAGGAAAUACCAUCCUCCAGGUGUGAUCUUAACAUUGCAGAAUGUACUCUGGGACUAUUCCUUUCCUUGUCCCAGCCACCAGGCUUCUUUUAAUGCCAGUUCAUAUCACAUUUACUUGUUUUGGCAGCCAGGUCACAUCACUGGCUCAGGUUGUAUUUACUGUCAACUAAAGCCCUGGAUCUCUUUUCAUGUGAGGAGCACUUAAGUCAGGGUAGACUGUGUUAGCCAAGAGCAUGACUAGAUUCAUGGCUCUGCUGCUCUUCUAAUAUUACCAAGAACAUGGAACACAGGAUUAAAAACAUUCCAAACUUCUCUACUCACCCCUAACCAAAAUCCUGGCAAUUCAAUAGUUUUAACAGAAGAAAGAAAAAAUAAAAGGUUGAGCAUCAGACAAUGGUGUGAAUUGUGAAAUGCAUUAUCAGGUCUCUGGGCUUAGUUUUACCAAAAGGACCCACAGGGAGUCCAAAUGUCCUAGAUAUUUACCUAGAUGGGCAGCCAGGGGACUUCCCUCUUGCACUUAAGGUAAAUGCUGCCAGGGCUGCUGGGACAUAACUAUACUUGCGGUGGUGAAAAAAAUACAUGGAAAUAUACACAGAGGCCCAAUACCAAUGUGUUAUCAAUAGAAAACUAAGUUUACUGCUGUACUUCUCUGGAAGACAAAAAUGCUCAAAUACAGAUUUUGAAGGGAGGAUCCAGCCAAAGAAAACUAUAAAAUGCACGAUCAGGGCCAGACGCCAUGGCUCAUGCCUUUAAUCCCAGCACUUUGGGAGGCCAAGGCAGGCGGAUCACUUGAGGUCAGGAGUUCGAGACCAGCCUGGCCAACAUGGUGAAACCCCAUCUCUACUAAAAAUAUAAAAAUUAGCUGGGCAUAGUGGCAUCCGCCU
rnacentral:lncRNA from 1 species